rnacentral:rRNA from 1 species
AUUGAACGCUGGCGGCAUGCUUUACACAUGCAAGUCGAACGGGGUGAAGGGGCAACUCUUCAUUCAGUGGCGAACGGGUGAGUAAUACAUCGGAACGUACCCCGUAGUGGGGGAUAACUCGGCGAAAGCCGUGCUAAUACCGCAUAUGCUCUACGGAGGAAAAGCAGGGGACCGCAAGGGCCUUGUGCUAUGGGAGCGGCCGAUGUCCGAUUAGCUAGUUGGUGAGGUAAUGGCNCACCAAGGCGACGAUCAGUAGCUGGUCUGAGAGGAUGAUCAGCCACACUGGGACUGAGACACGGCCCAGACUCCUACGGGAGGCAGCAGUGGGAAUAUUGGACAAUGGGCGCAAGCCUGAUCCAGCCAUGCCGCGUGAGUGAUGAAGGCCUUAGGGUUGUAAAGC